CCUACGGGUGGCAGCAGUGGGGAAUAUUGGGCAAUGGAGGCAACUCUUACCCAGCAAUGCCGCGUGAAUGAAGAAGGUCUUCGGAGUGUAAAGCUCUUUAAUUGGGGACGAAAAAAAUGACGGUACCCCAGGAAUAAUCCCCGGCUAACUACGUGCCAGCCGCCGCGGUAAUACGUAGGGGGCAAGCGGUGUUCGGAAUGACUGGGCGUAAAGGGGGUGGAGGAGGUGGAGGAAGGUAGAAGUGAAAUACCUGGAGCUUAACUCAGGUGCUGCUUCUAAAACUGCUAUACUUGAGUGCAGUAGAGGAAAGUGGAAUUCCUAGUGUAGCGGUGGAAUGCGUAGAUAUUAGGAGGAACAUCAGUGGCGAAGGCGACUUUCUGGACUGUAACUGACGCUGAGGCACGAAAGUGUGGGGAGCAAACAGGAUUAGAUACCCUGGUAGUC
rnacentral:rRNA from 1 species